AGCUAAAACUUAUCAAGAAAUUUUUCUUCCAGUAUCUACCUCUUAAAAAAUUUGAUAUGGAAUUUUGGAAACACAUGUUAAACAAAGAAGAAGAUAUGGAAAUUGCUGCAGAAUUUUGAUAUGGAAACACAUAUGUUAAACACAUGUUAAAGUUGCAGUAUAGGUGGUAUGAUUGAGAAUUUGAUAUGGAGAAGAAGAUAUUGAUUGCUGCAGAAAUUUAAUGUUUUGAGUAGUUUGGGUGGUUUGAAUUUGGAAUAUUAUGUUUUUGGAUUUGGUUAAUUUUGUUGGGAAUUUGAGA